rnacentral:lncRNA from 1 species
ACACCCUCCCUGCCCAGCAGUGAUGAGUGCCAUUCCUGCCUAGUGGAGCAUUUACAGAGCGGCAGGAUCUGAGCAGUACUGACUGUCCCUCCAAGCCCACCCGCCAGGCCCAAAUCCCCUCUGUUCCUCCUGGGAGGCACCGUCCCAUCCUGCUGACAGACCUCAGCAACAGGUGCUCACUCUCUCUCUGGGCAACCCUUUCUGCUGUGGGCAUGCUGGGCUGUUCUCCAAGCUCUUCCUCACAUGCAGUGGGGCUCCCCAAAGCCCCAGCUCUGUGUCUGGCUCUGCAGGGUCCCUCCAGGCUGAGUCCCCAGCCCCUCCCUCCAGGCUCAUCUCCCUACCGCCUGGAGGAAUGUCUGCAGACACCGCAAGGCUGGUUCUCUGAGUUCUGGCAGCACCUCCACCCUGUGAUGUUGGGCAAACCCCUUGCCCUGAUCCAGCCUGUCUCCUCUGCAGAACUCCCGGAGCAAGAGGUGACCUCCAGGGACCCUUCCCCCUCUGACCUCAGUCUGAGGUGAGUUCUCUUAGGGAGGCCUCAAACCCUUAAUGAAAACCCUCACCAGAUGAAAAGGCUAAACAUUCCCUUCAACCAAACUGGGCUCAGGGGGCAGCAGGUCUAAUGAAUCCUGGCACUUCUUUGGCCCUUGGGGGAGCUACUUGAACUUUUAAUGAUGCUGGAGUAAGAACUCCUCCUGCAGACUCCUGGGGCCCUGGGAGCCCGGCUGCCUUCCCUAGGGAAGUUAAGGAGGGAAGUCUGUUGUGAGGAGGAGGAGGAGGAAGGCAAACAGGGGAUUUUCGUCCUCAGAACUUCUCCAGGAAGACUCCCACCCCACACCAGCCGCUGGCGGCGGGGCAGGACCUUACAACUAUGAACUUGAAGAACUUCAGUCAGCUCAAACGGCCCCUUGGAAUCACCCAGACUCAGCCUUCACUGACAGAUGGAGAAACUGAAGCCAGAGAAGGGAAACACUUGCCUAAGUUCUCCCAGCCUCGUGCGCUAAUCUAUACAGCAGGGUUGGGACUUCCUAGCCAAGGAAUGGGAGUUCUAGACCACACAGCUGAUGGGGUUUUCCUAUUCCCUAAGACACAACAAUAUCAAAACAAAGCCAAUUAAUAAUCCUACAAUGGCCUCUAAAUGCUCAGUGAAAGGAAGAGUCACAUCUCUCACUUUAAAUCAAAAG